CCUACGGGUGGCAGCAGUGAGGAAUAUUGGUCAAUGGACGAAAGUCUGAACCAGCCAAGUCGCGUGAAGGAUGACUGCCCUAUGGGUUGUAAACUUCUUUUAUAUGGGAAUAAAUUGUUCAAAGAGUAGGAUUUUGUAUGUACCAUAUGAAUAAGGAUCGGCUAACUCCGUGCCAGCAGCCGCGGUAAGACGGAGGGUCCGGGCGUUAUCCGGAUUGAUUGGGAUUAAAGGGCGCGUAGGUGGAUUGUUAAGUCAGGUGUGAAAGUUUGCGGCUCAACCGUAAAAUUGCAGUUGAAACUGGCAGUCUUGAGUACAGUAGAGGUGGGCGGAAUUCGUGGUGUAGCAGUGAAAUGCGUAGAUAUCACGAAGAACUCCGAUUGCGAAGGCAGCUCACUGGACUGCAACUGACACUGAGGCUCGAAAGUGUGGGUAGCAAACAGGAUUAGAUACCCCUGUAGUC
rnacentral:rRNA from 1 species